GGCUGGUCCGAGUGCAGUAGUGUUUACAAGUAAUUGAUAUAAGAAGUUACAAAUUUCUUUGUUGCUUCUUCAUUCCCACUGCUUCACUUGGCUAGCCUUAA
ensembl:misc_RNA Y_RNA Y RNA